rnacentral:lncRNA from 1 species
GCGCGGGUGGCGCUGUCCCGCUGUGCCCGUGUCACCGGGCGCCGCCUGCGGCUGUUGGCGGCCGAGGCCGAGGAGCAGCGGCUGCGGGGGGAGAGGUACCGAGAGCAGGCCCGUGUCACCGAGGCCGCUGCCCGCCUGCUGGCCCAGCGCGUGGCCCUGGUGGCCGCGGGCACCGCCCGGCUCCUGGCCCGGGGCCGCCUCCUGCGCCGGGAGCUCGAGGACGUCGGGGACGGCGCCGCGGCCACGGCCCAGCUCAGGGCCCGGCUCAGGGCCCGGCUCAGGUGUGACCCCAUGAACCUGUCCCGCACGGUGCGGCGGAUGCUGCGCGACAGCGACAGCGACAGCGACAGCGACAACGGCGACAGCGACAGCGGCGACAGCGACAGCGACAGCGGCCACGCCCCCCCAGGCCCCGCCCCCAGCGCCGGGGACACCCCCUGAGCCCCCCGACCCCAAAACAGCCCCAAAACCCCGACCCUGACCCCAAACCCGGGGGAGCGCCCCAAAAAGGGAUUUGGGGUCUGGGG